GUAUUCUAUGGUGCAAACUUUAAAUGCAACUUAAGUACUAAUUUAUUUUAUCAGACCCUUAUGUAAAUCAUGCAUUACCUGCUAGCCACAUGAAUAUUACAUA
rnacentral:ncRNA from 1 species